GACAGAGGGUGCGAACGUUGUCCGGAGUUACUGGGCGUAAAGUGCACGCAGGCGGUCGAUUAAGUUUGGAGUGACAGUUGGUGGCUUAACUGCCAAAGUGCUUUGAAAACUGAUCGACUUGAGGGCUUCAGAGGGACACGGAAUUCCGGGUGGAGUGGUGAAAUGCGUAGAGAUCCGGAGGAACACCGAAGGCGAAGGCAGUGUCCUGGGGAGUACCUGACGCUCAGGUGCGGAAAGCCAGGGGAGCGAACGGG
rnacentral:rRNA from 1 species